CCUACGGGCGGCAGCAGUGGGGAAUAUUGGACAAUGGGCGAAAGCCUGAUCCAGCCAUGCCGCGUGUGUGAAGAAGGCCUUCGGGUUGUAAAGCACUUUCAGUGGGGAAGAAAGCCUUGGGGCUAAUACCCUCGAGGAAGGACAUCACCCACAGAAGAAGCACCGGCUAACUCCGUGCCAGCAGCCGCGGUAAUACGGAGGGUGCGAGCGUUAAUCGGAAUUACUGGGCGUAAAGCGCGCGUAGGCGGUCUGAUAAGCCGGUUGUGAAAGCCCCGGGCUCAACCUGGGAACGGCAUCCGGAACUGUCAGGCUAGAGUGCAGGAGAGGAAGGUAGAAUUCCCGGUGUAGCGGUGAAAUGCGUAGAGAUCGGGAGGAAUACCAGUGGCGAAGGCGGCCUUCUGGACUGACACUGACGCUGAGGUGCGAAAGAGUGGGUAGCAAACAGGAUUAGAUACCCCAGUAGUC
rnacentral:rRNA from 1 species